GAACUAAGUACCUUGAUUUCUUGAUGGCUGACUAUGAGUACUGAAAACUCCAACCCGGCCGGCAGCUCGUAAUGCCGUGUGCCUCUCCUUACAGAGUUAAGCUCAGCCAGGCCUGCCCGAGAGAAACCCUAAACCGGCGCCACAUUCCUGCAGGAACUCUGCCACAGUCUCAGCUCAAACUGGCCUCCAGAUGAACAAGGUGAGGAGACAGAGAAGGCCAAACCCAUGAGGAAGAAGCUCUUGGCAGACAUGGAAUCUACUGGCACCUUAUUCUUGGAUUCUCAAGCCUCCUAAACACUGCAUGAAUGCAGCUGGACCUGUCAAUCACCUAGCUCGGAGACUACCCCUCAGGAAAACUGAGUCACCUGAAGAUGCUACAGAGAUGGGGAAAAUAAUUAUUCUUUUAAUGAGAUAACAUGUGUAUACCUCCCUGAGAAGUCCCUCCCUCAAUCCAGCUGUUUGCAGAUCUUUCCUAAGACAGCCUGUGUUCCCCAGUUCUAACUCCAAAACUGUAACUUCUCCUUUCUCCCUUGUCUCAUCUUUGGCUACUGGCCAAAACCUCAUCCUGCUUGCUUCCGUCCUCUGUGCACUCUUUCUUUAACCCCCUCCAAGCCCCAGUUGCUUGGCACCCUUUCUUGCUGAGCCUGUCGACUCUCUUGAAGGCAUGUCAUUCGACCUCCGCAGGCACGCCAUUCUCUCCUCUUCAUCUCCCUUUUCCAGGCAGCAGUUGAGGUUUGUAGCUUGCUGACCUUGUGGUUUACUCUUGAGCGCCAAUGAAAUAGCCCACAAGC
rnacentral:lncRNA from 1 species